rnacentral:rRNA from 1 species
AUACAUGCAGUCGAACGCGCAGCGAAAGGUGCUUGCACCUUUCAAGCGAGUGGCGAACGGGUGAGUAACACGUGGAUAACCUGCCUCAAGGCUGGGGAUAACAUUUGGAAACAGAUGCUAAUACCGAAUAAAACUUAGUAUCGCAUGAUACAAAGUUGAAAGGCGCUACGGCGUCACCUAGAGAUGGGUCCGCGGUGCAUUAGUUAGUUGGUGGGGUAAAGGCCUACCAAGACAAUGAUGCAUAGCCGAGUUGAGAGACUGAUCGGCCACAUUGGGACUGAGACACGGCCCAAACUCCUACGGGAGGCUGCAGUAGGGAAUCUUCCACAAUGGGCGAAAGCCUGAUGGAGCAACGCCGCGUGUGUGAUGAAGGCUUUAGGGUCGUAAAGCACUGUUGUAUGGGAAGAAAUGCUAGAAUAGGGAAUGAUUCUAGUUCGACGGUACCAUACCAGAAAGGGACGGCUAAAUACGUGCCAGCAGCCGCGGUAAUACGUAUGUCCCGAGCGUUAUCCGGAUUUAUUGGGCGUAAAGCGAGCGCAGACGGUUGAUUAAGUCUGAUGUGAAAGCCCGGAGCUCAACUCCGGAAUGGCAUUGGAAACUGGUUAACUUGAGUGUUGUAGAGGUAAGUGGAACUCCAUGUGUAGCGGUGGAAUGCGUAGAUAUAUGGAAGAACACCAGUGGCGAAGGCGGCUUACUGGACAACAACUGACGUUGAGGCUCGAAAGUGUGGGUAGCAAACAGGAUUAGAUACCCUGGUAGUCCACACCGUAAACGAUGAAUACUAGGUGUUAGGAGGUUUCCGCCUCUUAGUGCCGAAGCUAACGCAUUAAGUAUUCCGCCUGGGGAGUACGACCGCAAGGUUGAAACUCAAAGGAAUUGACGGGGACCCGCACAAGCGGUGGAGCAUGUGGUUUAAUUCGAAGCAACGCGAAGAACCUUACCAGGUCUUGACAUCCUUUGAGCUUCUAGAGAUAGAAGUGUUCUU